rnacentral:rRNA from 1 species
UACGUAGGCAGCGAGCGUUGUUCGGAGUUACUGGGCGUAAAGGGUGUGUAGGCGGUUGUUUAAGUUUGGUGUGAAAUCUCCCGGCUCAACUGGGAGGGUGCGCCGAAUACUGAAUGACUUGGAGUGCGGGAGAGGAGAGUGGAAUUCCUGGUGUAGCGGUGAAAUGCGUAGAUAUUAGGAGGAACACCAGUGGCGAAGGCGGCUUUCUGGACUGUAACUGACACUGAGGCACGAAAGCGUGGGGAGCAAACAGG